GGCUGACUAGCUCAGUUGGUUAGAGCGUCGUGCUAAUACAUAGUCCUGGGCUCCCUCUUGGCAACUCGAAGUGGCCUAAGGAUUGUUACGCGAAGGUCUUGGGUUCGAUCCCCACGUUGGCCA